rnacentral:pre_miRNA from 1 species
UAAAUACUCCCUCCAUCCAGAAAUACUUGUCGGAGAAAUGGAUGUAUCUAGACGUAUUUUAGUUCUUGAUACAUCCAUUUUUAUCCAUUUCUUCAACAAGUAUUUUCGGAUGGAGGGAGUAUGUU